GAUGAACGCUAGCUACAGGCUUAACACAUGCAAGUCGCGGGGCAGCAUUUCCUUAGCUUGCUAAGGAAGAUGGCGACCGGCGCACGGGUGAGUAACGCGUAUCCAACCUUCCCAUGUCCACGGGAUAGCCCGUCGAAAGGCGGAUUAAUACCGUAUGAGGUCACAUGCGGGCAUCUAAGUGUGACGAAAGGUUUAGCGGACAUGGAUGGGGAUGCGUCCGAUUAGCUUGUUGGCGGGGUAACGGCCCACCAAGGCGACGAUCAGUAGGGGUUCUGAGAGGAAGGUCCCCCACAUUGGAACUGAGACACGGUCCAAACUCCUACGGGAGGCAGCAGUGAGGAAUAUUGGUCAAUGGACGCAAGUCUGAACCAGCCAAGUAGCGUGCAGGAUGACGGCCCUAUGGGGUUGUAAACUGCUUUUAUGCGGGGAUAAAGUGUGGGACGUGUCCCAUAUUGUAGGUACCGCAUGAAUAAGGGCCGGCUAAUUCCGUGCCAGCAGCC
rnacentral:rRNA from 1 species